rnacentral:rRNA from 1 species
CCUACGGGUGGCAGCAGUCGAGAAUCAUUCACAAUGGGGGAAACCCUGAUGCUGCGACGCCGCGUGGGGGAAUGAAGGUCUUCGGAUUGUAAACCCCUGUCAUGUGGGAGCAAAUAAAAAAGAUAGUACCGCAAGAGGAAGAGACGGCUAACUCUGUGCCAGCAGCCGCGGUAAUACAGAGGGCGCAAGCGUUGUUCGGAAGCACUGGUCGUAAAGCGUGCGUAGGCUGUGUCGUAAGUCGGGUGUGAAAGGCGCGGGCUCAACCCGCGGGCGGCACAUGAUACUGCGAGACUCGAAUACUGGAGAGGGAAGCGGAAUUCGCGGUGUAGCAGUGAAAUGCGUAGAUAUCGAGAGGAACACUCGUGGCGAAGGCGGGUUCCUGGACAUUAACUGACGCUGAGGCACGAAGGCGAGGGGAGCGAAAGGGAUUAGAUACCCGUGUAGUC